rnacentral:lncRNA from 1 species
UACAAAUUAAAUCAUGUGGCAUGUCAGAUGGAGAUUACCAUGAACAAAAGAACACUGGAUAGGGAGUUCCUGAGUUAUUACGGUGGCACUUUUACUUAGCACAGUCAGGAAAGAGCUCCUGUAAAUGGUGACAAUUGAGGAAACACCUGGAGGAGGUAAAGAAGUCAGCCCAUGGAUAUCUGGGUCAGAAGCACUCCAGGCAGAGGGAUGAGCAAACACAGACACCCUGAGAAAGGAAUGCAGCUGGCAUGGUGGAGGAGUAGCCCAAAGGCCAAUGUGAGUGUGGCCCAAGCAGGGAGAAUGAAGAGACAACAGGUGAUAUCUUUCCAGAACAUUUACAUGUUUCAUCUUACGAUAAACUAAUGAAAGAGACAUCAUUAAUAUAACCAGGAAGUUCAAGCACCACACACUACAUGGCAGUACUGAGGGCAAGCUACACAUCUCAUUUCCUCUUCCCCGAAAGUAUUCCAUUUUUCCCCGGUUCUGUAUGUGGACUGGUGGUCAAAUCUGUCUCAAGCGUGUUUGGAAGACUGUCACUACGCUAACAACAAUAACAUCAGAAAUCAAGGAUCAACAGAGAAAGCAAUAUUUUCAGUGGAUAUUAUCUAACUACUGAAAAGUUCAUCACUUAAUAAAAUAGAUAUUUUUUCUCAUUUUAAACAUUUGUAAUGUAUGUAUUCCAGAAAUACAUCAAUCAUUUCUGUGUAUUCUUUUAAUAAAUUGCACAUGCUGUAACCUUUCCAUGAUGCCUCGAGAUCACAAUCACGCAUUGUAAUUACCAAGUUAUUCUGUCUAACCCGUAUAUCAUCUG